CGGAAACAGUCACAUAACUCUGGCAGGAGGGAAUGAGGUCAAUCCACAACCCUCCAACUUAACGCACAUCGUCUGUUGCAGAGGGGUUAGGAUUUCACUUUUUUAUUGUAUUUUGAAGGCCUAUCGGACGCUCUGUUGAGAUUUGAUUUUUGUGACCGAUACGUGAACAGUAUUGAUGUUUUGAGUGUUCCCAAAGAGAGAGACAUUACAUCACAACAAUUUGUCAGGUCAAUUCUUGCCACAUGUUUCUUUCCUGUAAAGGUCCACUUAGAUUACAGAUGGAAGCAAAGGUUGUUCAGUUUACAUUUUAAGGACAUUGCACGGUGAGGGAAGGAGCUUAACAACAACGUGGCAUCAGCAGCGGCUAAGUUGACCUGAGGGGCCAGUCAAGUCCUCCCAUAAUGCAGAGCUCUGUGGCCUCUUGCCUUCUGUCACCCUAUCACCUCGGAACCUGGGAUUUUCUGGAAAAGUGGGGCUUCUGGACUGACUCAUCGGACAGCUGUACCUUAAAGGGCCUCACGGGGGCAUCGCCUCCAGGGUCACUACUCUGGGCUGUGAUUUGACGGCCAGGCACAAAUAAAACCCCCUGAAGCUUGACAACUUCCUCGCUGAGCCCACGUAACCCAAUUAGGGAACCGUCCCACAGUCGGAGAAAAUGAAAACAUUCCGGAGCCAUAUUCCCGGGACGGCCGUGGUCGUUUAUUUAAUCCAUUUCUUUUUUCGCCCUCUUCCAGAGAUUUUUCUUGGACUGAUUUCAAUGAUCCAUCAAGGAGUGACUCAACAACUCAAAUACCAGUGGGCUGCAAAUAUACUAAACUCCUGUCUGCGCUGAAUCCAGAGACAAGUACCUCACAUCGUUACGUUAACCCACGGCUAUCUUUUGAAAGGAUAUCCAGAUACUGAGGUUGCCUCAGCUGGGCGGGUGCUGAAAGCCUAUACGUUACCCAGAGUGCAGUGCAGGAUGCGGGGCGACUGCAGAUGCUGCCGGCUGAAGGCAAAGACAAAUGGACGAAUCAACGCUCCAGCAGAAGGUCCUAUUGAUUGAUAAAGCACCCUGUGGAUUGGGCUGUGAAUUGUUAGCCCCCCAUAGUGUGUUUUUUUUUUUUGUUUUUGUGUGGGAUACCAGACUGCUGCCCCGAAGGCCCUGAACAAUACAGACAAGCAGAGAAAGACAGCAGAAUCAAUGACUGUCUCACUCAGGGCUCUAGUAUGUUCUUACGAAUCAUCUAAAGUGGCUCCCUUGGCGCCUACCUCUGCCUACCUCCACUGAAUACCACAACAAGAUUUGUUAAAGACACCACCGUUCAAGGAGGAACGGCAAGCAUCUUCUGCAGGGAACCAAUCAAUGACUGAAGACAGAUGAAUUCCUCUAAAAAAUAAAGACAAUUUGGCUGUUAGAAAAGCAACUCGGACACAACGAAAGACCACAAAUUGCAUCCAGCGAAAGACGAGGACGAUGAGGAAUGCGUGUGAUGAAGGCUACAUUUGUCUAUUGAGACAAGGCCCAGGACCCAAGUGUCUUCUCUCUCCCUCGUGGGCGACUGACAGAGCCAGAUAGGCCUCUUCACUGCUGACAGCCAAUGUCCUCAUCCAUCCUCAUCCGAGAGACCAACCCCGCCUAGAUUUCCCCCGACGAAACCCCCAACGCAGAAAUCCCUCGCCCCAAGCUCAGCAAAGGGCCCGGAGCUGGGAGUGUCCCCGCGGCGCCUCUGUCAAUAUGUCAUCAUCGUCAUAGCUGCCAGUUGGCAGCAGAGUAACCCACCGCAGUUGUGUCAGCAAAACAGUCUCCAUUUUAUUAGUAUUUCUUUCCACUGAAUAUCCAUCGCGGGACACACACUUCUUCUCAGUAUUCGCAGACAGGGUCAUAACUCAAGCGGCCCGUGAUGUGCUUCCCACUCCUGUGACGGGGAGGUAUUUGUGAUGAUGAACGGACACAGGGGGGGAAGCGUUUGUUUUUUCGCAGGAGGCGGAGGGGGGUGGGGGGGGGUGGGGGGACUCGUCGUCGGGCGGAGCCGCACGCAGCAAGCAGACGUAAGCACUUGUGGUCCGAUGUGGCCGUGCUGACAACACAACUUUGGGCCUCGUUUGGAGAACAAACCGGCAUUUUAAUGGGAUGGUACACCUUGAGUACGAAUGAAGCAUGUGAAUUAUUUAGUUUCAUCUGUGUGUGUGGAGCUAAAUGUGAUGCUUUAGCGAUAGAAGACAAACUUUUAAAUAUUUUCUUUGUAAGAGAAAAGACCAUAAAUGUCCAUAAAAGAGCUGCAUGAGAAAAGCUUCUGCGGCUUCAAACCAGGAUAAACUUAUUUUUCAUGUCACCAUCCAUCCUCCACUGCAAGCUAAGUGUGAUGCGCAAUACUAGUCCACAGCAGCAUCCUCACACAAGAAAUUAACAGUACUUAUUCAUUUAGAGCAGAAAGUGCACUUUAAAUGUAAAGCACUUUGCUUAAAUCCAGGAAAUCAUCGCACUAUUAAAGCAAUUUGGAGAACAGCAUCAUACUUAGAGGAACAUUUCUGGGCUUCAUACAAAUAGGCUUGACAGUCAUUUUACUGCCUUUAGUGAGGGUCCCAGAGAAAGUGACAGGGGGAAAUUGGGGCAAAUAAAGUCAGAGGAAGAGGAAUUUCUCUUCAUGGUAAAAUUGGGAAUGAUGUCAUGAAUUAAUUCUGCGCGUCGAGGAGGAGAUCAUAACAAGUCUACAGAUGAUGCCUGGACAUUCACUAAACUGCAGCGUAAUGCACAGCUAAUAUGGGAUGAGAUUGCUCUGAGAUUUCAUUUUGGGGGCAGCAGCGGUAAUGGCAGAGAUGAUGAUCACGACUGCAUUACAGGCAAUUUGAUUUAAAACGUAUGAGACAUUUUGCGCAACGUCCCAUGAGAUGUAAACACAUAAAAUAUUUCCUCUGGCUUUGAGGCACACAGAUAUUUGCAUUAAAUAUGUUCUAACAUUGAUUUGUAUUGAGUUUAGACCAGCGCUCUGCAUUAUGGGUUGACCGAUUCAGGUUCGUCACGUGUGAGGGGAUGAGUACAUUAACGAUAUUUGUUUCUUUUUUUGUUACAUUGUUUUAAUGGAUAUUGAAGUCUGCAUUAACAAGGUCAGAUACAAAUAACAAACUCUGCUGGCAGUUAUUGGUUGAAAAGAUCCUCCUGCACCACCACCAGCCGUCUGCACUGGAUGAUCUGAAAAAAACAAACUUGCAUAAAUCAAAGCCUCUUUGUUGGAAAAAGAGAUGGACUGUUAUUUGCAUCCUUUUUUUCUUUCAAUUUGUCUGAUAUAAAGUCGAACGUCCUUCCCGCCUCCAUAAAUCCUGAGACACUAACAAAGUGAAGGAGCAUCCAAAUCAGCUCAUUGCAGCGGCAGUCGAUGGCCGCUCUCUCAAGGACGCUGAUUGACGUUUUAUACAGCUUCUGCAGAACUGCCGAUACGAUCAGAGCUGGGGAGCAGAUGCGAGGCUGGGAAACGGUGGCAGUUCACUGGAGUUGAAUUGUACCCCGGAGAGGAGGAAGUGAAGUUUUUCUAUCAGAUGGAAAGAUCAGAGGAGACGGAUAAUUCAGUAAUCACAUCUCCAGCGAUUAGGGGGGACAGGAGGCGGGUUGCCGAUAAGGAACUGUGGGCUUCACGGACGUUCUGUUCGGUUAAUAGGAAACCGAAAAAGACUCAACGCCUUAUUUUCCCAGUGGUAUCUGCUUCUUUUAUCACACCACUUUAUGAUUUCUCACCUUGUCUCAUUGGGUCGUCUGAUCUCAUCUCAUUUACUAAAGGGUCGGUGAACCUGUCAGCGAAUCAAAACCAACUUCUGUGUGUGCUUCAUCUGGGUACGGUUGUAUCUUCUCAUCUCGUCUCAUUCCUGAUGACUUACAUUAGUUUUUUGACCCAUCUCGUCCUCAUAAUCCUGUUUCAUUCAUGCGGUAACAGAUGAAAACAACGCCCAGGCCUAUAAAAAAUGAUCUUUUUGGUCAUGUUUUAUUCUCCAAAGAAAUGUCAACAUCCUGAGUAAGACAGCCUAACCCAAGGGACAAUAGUAGAAAUUGUUUAAAUAUAAAUCCUGGUGCUCCUUCUGUCACGGUUUGGGUUUGUUUCCUUUCUUAUUUUGUAGUUUUCUGCCUCUUGUGUCCCUGGGUAACUUCACUUCCUGCCUUGUCCUGUCAUCCCCUGUGAUUGUCUGAUUGUUUCCACCUGUGUCCAAUCACCUGCACCUGCACCAUGUGUAUUUAAGUCAUGUGUGUCGCUUGUCCCUUGUCGCUCAUUGUUGACUGUUUUGGAUGUUCCUGUCUGCAUUUUUUGCCCCUGGCCCUUUUGGAUUUUGACUAUUAAAGUCUUUUUGUUUUUGAAAGUCUGCGUUUGAGUCCUGCCUUCUCUGUCUGAACAAGACUUUUCAAGGAUUACUCAUAUUUUUCCACCUGAUGAACACUCCAUAUCCUGACAUCAUAUCUGUAAGUCACAAACCGUUGUCAAUGCCACCUGACGAGCAUGACGAGUCCUCUGACUCUCUCUAUCCAAGUGGGUAAAAGCCUGACGUGUAUAUGUGCACACGGACACACAAGCGCACCAUGUCUUGUUGGCCUGUGAGAUCUUAUCACGGACAUUGAAAUGAGAUGAGACAAUGUGAGUAUCUGCUUCCUGUGUUUGUGUGUGGUUGGGAUGCAUGGGUCUCAUGCAGUAUCAUGUUAAAGUUGAGCGUCUGCUGUCUGCAGAGUCGCCGUAGUUUUAAUUUGAUGCUUUUAUUUUGAAGGCUUGUAAAGUAUGUAAAAUCUUGAUAGAUUAAAUUAAGAAGACAUAAUAUUGCAAAUAAUGCAAAUCUUUUAAGAGAAAUUUAAUUUGCAUUAUUUGCAAUAUUAUGUCUUAAUUUAAUUUAAAAUCAAGCAUAACAUGAUAAAACAAAUCUGAUCUCACGUGUUUCAACAGUGUUUACCCGUUACGACAGCAGGGGCUGUAGGGCGGCGAUCUGGGCUGUAACGUCCACCAUGUGUGGUCACACCCACGUGCACUGACUUAUUCUGAAGGGAUACGCGGCUGGCUCUGCUCCAGGUGACAACACAGAGGACGAGGGACUGUAGGUGCGUUUUAUAUUCAAUCAUCGUUUUUCUGCUACAUCAAUGCUCUGAAUUGCGCAGUUUCCAUAUUUAGAGGUGAUUUAUAAAUUUAAUCUACACCAAUUGCUGGGGUACUUGUUGCGCAGCGGAACUUGACCUUUGCAGGGAACCGAUGAGGGAGGUUUCCCCAAAGGGAUGAGUGAAUUCUAAUUUCAUUAGCAUCCCAAACCUCACGGAGUGAAUGAUGCAGUUAGUCAUUGCUCUUCUUUUCCACUGAUGAUGACGUUUUCAAAACAGACCACAGCUGUGUGGAUCUCCCAAGUGAAUCCUACACAACUCUGGGCUUGGACAAGGGCCGAUGAUGAUAACUGGCUUGCAUUAUGUCCUUUACAGUAUUGUCACCAUGGAUACAAGACUUGGGAGUCAAACACAGAAGAGUGGUGGUCACUAAUACUUUUUAAUCAAGUCUCCCUGAAAGCUCAUAUUUAUGAUUACAUCCAUCCAGAAAAAAUAUCACCUCGCCUGUUUUUGGUAAAAUGAUCGGGGGAAACCAUUUAACAAUGUUCCUAGUUCCUAAACAGUGCUCCUAAUUGUACAUCGGCUCGAUGACUUGAAAUCUAGAAGUGUGUCGACACAUAGCGCAAACUCCUUUUUCACUUUGCUUUACCUGCAAGUUGUGCUGCCAUGCAAAUGCCCCUAACAAAUCUGUCCCAUAGGAACUUCCUUUCUGCUUACUACUUUCCUUCAAAGUUGCAAAAACAAAAUAUUACUGAAAGGAAAACCAUUUGGGGAGCUUUUUUCAGCAAAUCAAGUAGCGACUAUUUCAAUGUAUCCUCCAACAGUUUCAAAUGACAUCCUGUAAGAAGCCCGGUAACACUCGUAACUUGCGCGCUUACUUGAAAAAAUUUGUAAAGAUGAAAUGAGUUUUAAAUAUUAUUUAACUCCUCGACAUCUCCUUCGUUUCUCACUUACUGACCAUUUAAAUCGUAUUUUGACAGCAAGUUGUUUGUGUUCAAUAAUAAUGACCUUGAUAAUCUACCAAUCCAUUUGGCAAGAAUAAGCAAAUACAUGUUGGAUUAAUAAACUAUCACCAGUGAACACUGGCCGCCAAAGAUCAAGAGUCACAAACCUUAUUGAACCAACUUUAACUUCACUUUAAAACAUCUUAACCUACUUAAGAUGUUUGCCAGAUAUAUUCCGUAUUAACAUGUAGGCUAUGAAGAAGAAAAACUUAAUCCAGGGCCUCUCCUUGGAUGUCCUCGUCCCUCAUCUCUCUCUCGCGUAUCUUUGGGUGUUUUAAUGUUUCCCUGACUGCUGCUAUAACAUGAAUUUGUCAUUGCGUUCACCGCACCCAUGAAACAACUAAUAGAAAGAAAUGAACUGUGCAAACUCAAGGGGGGGAUUGUGACAGUUGGAGGGGAGGUUGGGGGUGAGCGGGGGAAGCUGUGGUGAAAUUAGCUGGAGCUUCAUGGCCGCUCUCCCGGUGUCGGCAUCGCGCAGGUUUGGACCGCGCUGGCUCGCUAAGUAAGUAUUUGCACGCAAACUGGUGUUAUUUGAUCCACCUCAGUGUCAAGCGCUUCCAUCACUUUAAAAAUUGAAAAGGAGGAGGUUCUCUGGUGGCUCUCAGCUGGCAGUUUGAUUCAGAUUGUAUUAUCCGGGCUUGCUUCUAUAAUAAGCAGGAACUGUCCUGUACGAUUAGGCACGCUCGGCGGCACCAACCCCCC
ensembl:lncRNA